UCCCUCUCAGGACCUCACCUGGAGAGCUUCCAGUACUCUACCAGCCUCGGCUACGGGAGGGAGAGUUGAGCAGAGGCCUACCCAUUCCAUUCCUAGCUCGGGCAAUGGCUAGCGAGUGGAAGGCAAUCUGCUACAAGU
rnacentral:snoRNA from 1 species